GAUGAACGCUAGCGGCAGGCCUAAUACAUGCACGUCGAGGGGUAUCCCGCUUUCGGGCGGGAGAGACCGGCGCACGGGUGCGUAACGCGUAUGCAACCUACCCAUAUCUGGGGGAUAGCCCGGAGAAAUCCGGAUUAACACCGCAUAAAAUCACAGUACGGCAUCGUACAAUGAUCAAAUAUUGAUAGGAUAUGGAUGGGCAUGCGUGUCAUUAGCUGGUUGGCGGGGUAACGGCCCACCAAGGCGACGAGGACUAGGGGAUCUGAGAGGAUGGCCCCCCACACUGGUACUGAGACACGGGCCAGACUCCUACGGGAGGCAGCAGUAAGGAAUAUUGGUCAAUGGGCGGAAGCCUGAAACAGCCAUGCCGCGUGCAGGAAGACGGCCCUCUGGGUUGUAAACUGCUUUUAUUCGGGAAUAAACCUGCAUACGUGUAUGCAGCUGAACGUACCGAAGGAAUAAGGAUCGGCUAACUCCGUGCCAGCAGCCGCCGCGG
rnacentral:rRNA from 1 species